rnacentral:rRNA from 1 species
GAUGACGGGAAGGCACACAAAGAGUGGACUGCGGCUUAUGGCUAGGUCGCAAUAGUCGUCCCAAGCAUUCGUGAAUCGGUUAACCGAUUCGUGUCUUGUUCGGGUAUUACGGCUAGUCGAUCCCCCCCAGCAAGGGUUGAGCGGGGGGCGGCAAGACAACCUGGUACGGGGGAGGCCCUCUGUGAGGGUUAAUCCCGUGGCGAGUCUGCCGAGAGUAAUCUCGGAUAGACCGUCGUAACGCACGGUAAGGUGUCGGGGGUCCUCCUCGGGAGGAUCCCUUAAGGGACGUGCUACUCCCCCCGCAAGGGUGCCCGGUAUUCUAGGUCUCAACCACCGAAGGUAUCGGGAGCCGACUAACUGCAGCCUAAAUAACUGCAGGGUGGCUGGUAUCAAGGUAAUUUGACUCAACACGGGCCAACUCACCGGGGCAAGAUACAAUGAUGAAGGACAGGCAGAAAGACCUUUCUUGAUGAUGUAAGUGGUGGUGCAUGGCCGUUCUUAGUUCGUGGAGUGAUCUGUCUGGUCUAUUCCGAUAACGAGCGAGACCCCAGUCCCUAACUAGGGGCGGCAGCCAGGCUCUUGUCUUCUACCCCGUUGAUGGCCGGUUCGCUGGUCGGAUGCGGGGGCGGGGCAUCUGUACCAGCUGUCGCCUAUGAGCGCGAGCUCCUUCUUAGGGAGACCGGGGCCGAAAAGGUCUCUGAAAUGGGGUAAUAACAGGUCAGUGAUGCCCUUAGAUGUUCCGGGCCGCACGCGGGUUACAAUGGCAAGCAAAACGGGCGUACCUCCCGCAAACACGUCCUUCGGGAUGUGGGGGGGUAGUCCUUACGCCUAACGGUGAUAGUAAUCCUUAGGGCUUGCCCCGCCUGGGCUAGUCUUUUGGAACUAUUGGUCUUAAACUCGGAAUUUUUAGUAGUCGCGGGUCAUUAACCCGCGACGAAUUGUCUCCCUGCCCUUUGUACACACCG